CCUACGGGUGGCAGCAGUGAGGAAUAUUGGUCAAUGGACGAGAGUCUGAACCAGCCAAGUAGCGUGAAGGAUGACUGCCCUAUGGGUUGUAAACUUCUUUUAUAUGGGAAUAAAAUGUUCCACGUGUGGGAUUUUGUAUGUACCAUAUGAAUAAGGAUCGGCUAACUCCGUGCCAGCAGCCGCGGUAAUACGGAGGCUCCGAGCGUUAUCCGGAUUUAUUGGGUUUAAAGGGAGCGUAGGUGGAUUGUUAAGUCAGUUGUGAAAGUUUGCGGCUAAACCGUAAAAUUGCAGUUGAAACUGGCAGUCUGGAGUACAGAAGAGGUGGGAGGAAUGCGUGGUGUAGCGGUGAAAUGCUUAGAUAUCACGAAGAACUCCGAUUGCGAAGGCAGCUCACUGGACUGCAACUGACGCUGAGGCUCGAAAGUGUGGGUAUCAAACAGGAUUAGAUACCCUUGUAGUC
rnacentral:rRNA from 1 species